ACGGAGGGUGCAAGCGUUGUCCGGAUUUAUUGGGUUUAAAGGGUGCGUAGGCGGCCCGGUAAGUCAGUGGUGAAAGCCUCCAGCUCAACUGGAGAACUGCCAUUGAUACUGCCGGGCUUGAGUACAGACGAGGUUGGCGGAAUUGAUUGUGUAGCGGUGAAAUGCAUAGAUACAAUCAAGAACUCCGAUUGCGUAGGCAGCUAACUAGGCUGUAACUGACGCUGAGGCACGAAAGCGUGGGGAGCGAACAGGA
rnacentral:rRNA from 1 species